CGCCGGGUUAGCUGGGCCCUGGGUCGGGGGGAACAGAGGCUGGGUCCCGGUGUUGGACAACAUAUUGGGUCAGCUCAACCAGACAAUGACAGCACUUUCCUUCUCUCUCUGUCGGUCUCUCCUUCCUGGGUUACAGAUGGGUGCACCGGAAACCUAGUUACAACACUCGGGUCUGCAGCUGCCAGUUUCCGGUUCAACAACAGUGCACCCCUCAGGACAUCCGGUGCCAGUGUGAUCCAGUUGUAGAGGUUCAAGCCGGGGGACGGACAGAUCAAUAAUUCAUCAAAGACAUGAGGCGUGACAUGCGGAACAUCAGGCUCACCCCAGGAGAAGCAGUGCAUGAUCAACGCUACUCUCAGCAAGGAGAUCUGCUGGAAAUGAUCGUUCUCUAAGACAUUUAAACAUCACAGAUAGAAAUUCGCACAUGACAAAAUGCAACGUGGAUUGUAUUGUACUACUGAAUGAAACUGAGGAGAUGCACUCAGAUCUUUGUGAUUGAACUUACGUUAACUUAGACAUAGUAACCAGGAGUGGUAUGGUGUUGAUAUCGUGUAGUCAUAGUAACCAGGAGUGGUAUGGUGUUGAUAUCGUGUAGUCAUAGUAACCAGGAGGGGUAUGGUGUUGAUAUCGUGUAGGCAUA